AAAAAAAAAAGAGAUCUCUGCUGAGCUCUGAGAUCCCCGAGAGAAAAAUAUCAGAUUAUAUCCACCUGACACUCCAGAUUUCCCAAAGCUCAGGCAAUAAUGUCAGCUUUCAAGGAAAUAUUUGCACCAGAUGUUACACCUUGUAGGCUUUUCUCUUGCUCUCAUUCUGCCUUUGUCUCUGUCUCUCUCACAUGCAAACUCUCUCUCUCUCUCUUUCUCUCUCUCUCUCUCUCACACACACACACACACACACACACACACGUUUGGUCUGAACUGACUCACAAAGUCUCAAUGACAUUACGUAUAUGAAGGAAUAUCCCCAUUUUGCAGAUGAGGAAACUGAGUCCCAGCAUGGAUAAGGCAUGUAACAGGAAGUCAGAGGAUGAAUACAGCGGGUCAAAACCUAAGUAUCCUCGCCGUGCCACUUCCCCCUGCCUUAUGGGCCUGCUGAGAGGAAGACCACGGUCUCCCCUCUGCGUGCUGGCUUCAUCCCAGGGUCCCAGACAUCAUGGCUGUCAAUGUGCUGGGGCCGGGGAACCUCUGCAAGAACUCAUCCGUAAAUGCACGGAUAGUAGCUGAGGAAGUAUGGGCCUUUGAUGUGGCUCAAGGGCUGCCACGUGAGGAAUCGGAGCCAAGGGAGUCCUCAUUCAAGUUAUCAGGCUGGAGCUCUUUGAACACCAGAAGGAAGAGGGCAUUCAAGAGGAACGCCCCUCCAGCCCGUGGGAGAAGACUGGGGACGAUAAGGCACGCCGAAGCCCUCGACCACAUCAAAGCUAAGGCGGGGACACCCCCGCCCAGGCCUCGAGGCUGAAGUUGCUUCCCAAGGACACUGUGAAACACGUGGAGACGGACGGGCCAUCCCUGCAGCCCUUGGGGACUUCUUUUGAUGUGUGGACUCCAGCCAGCAGGACAAAGGCUGGCCGCUGGCGGACGGAUUGGCCCCUUGGCUGCCAGGUCUGCCUCUGAGACUCGCCCUCACACAGGUGCAUCACCCAGACAGGAGAGAGUGAACAUGAAAGCUCGUCUAGGCCACUGGCAGGCCCCGUCAGUGGAUAGUGCACAUCCCUCUACCGUGGUGACAACUCUGAUAUUCUCUCGCCGGAUGAUCUUAGGUAAGUCACUUAAAUUCGCUCUAUCUCAGUAACGUAAGAGUAAUGAAGGACACUGGUUAAAUAGGCUUGCUGUAAAGAUGAAAUGAGUGAGUAUAUAUAAAAUGUUUGAAGAGUGCUGAGCAUAUGCGAAGUCCUCAAUGAUUAGUUUCUAGCAUUACACCACGGCUCCUGAUGCUACCAUCACCAUCAUCGCUACCGUUAUCUCUACGGUUAAUAGUGGAGGGAAACAACAUUCUCGUA